rnacentral:lncRNA from 1 species
UGUCCUCAGCAACAGUUGCUGCCUUGAAUUGGACUGGUGAGCAUCGCGCUUUCAUUGUGGAAACGUUUAUCAAAACAAACGAUUCUGUAACUGCAACACAAAGAGUGUUCCGUUUGCACUUCAAUCUUGGUAGACAUGAUCCCGUACCAGCUCGAAACACGAUCUUGUUAUGGGUUACCAACUUCAGAGCUACUGGAUCUGCAUUGAAAUGAAAAUCAACCGGCCGACCUCGCACCGCCAGAACUUAAAGAUGCAAUUCGUCAAGAAAUUACUGCCAUUCCACAUGAAAUGACCCGCCGAGUUAUUGACAACUUUCGUGAACGCCUUCGACAGUGUGUGGACAAUAAUGGAUCCCAUUUGACUGA